GUGAAAUGCACAUCAACACCUACUUUAAUAGGGGCCUGCUGCAAUAAACGUCAAUAGCCCAAGGACUACUGAAACAGCAAUACAUGAGUAGAUCUGCACCCUUAGAGUCAAUUAUUGGCAUCAGACUGAGAAACUCAUCAGUCAUAGGCAGUCCAGGCUUCAGUGGGAAGCAUUCUUCGGGAGCCCUGGAACAGAUGUUGGAGAUCAGGGUCUCCAUAAGAAGAAAUUGGCAGGACAAGGCUGUGAGAGAGAUGGAGCUUGGUGGGCAGGGAGCGUUCGAAGUUUAGGAUCAUCUGAUGUUACAAAGUGGGUAUAUGUCAAAUGAUAUGCAUCUGGUGCAGAAAUGAUCAGACAUGGAAAUUAUACCACAUUCCUAGAGUGAUGCAAAAUGACCUGGAACUGGUUGCUUUUAUAUUUUCUAUACAAAACACGUGAUUGAAAUCCCAGGUGAAAUCUGUCUGACCUCCUAAAUGGCAUCUGCUUCACCGUUAUCCAACGCCAGAGGUCCUCCAAGACCACCAUCACCCCUCCCUUGGAAUAAGGAAGCAUUAGAUGUUCCCCUUUCCCACCACCAUAAUCCAAGGUAAACUCACGACUGAGAACCCCUCCCAAAGAUGACGCUCGAAUCGCAAUCGGUGCUCCCUCCCUCCUUAUCUCAUUCGCUCCUCCAAUCCAACGAUCUAUUCUCAUAGACUUUGUAAAUGUUGAGAAGGCUAUCUGCCUGUGUAGUGUAUAUAAUGGUAACUGUAACUUUAAGAACUGAGUACCAGAAUGGUAUGAUUUGUGUUAUGUGAUAUAUUCAUUAUCUGAUCAGUAUCGUGAAUAUGUGUGAGUAUGCGCAGUGUACAUUUGCAAAAUAAAGACGACCCACACAGGCAACAAUGUGUACUGAAAACCUGUGCUUGUUUUUAUCCACAUGCUGAAGCCGUAAUAUCUUACAGCAUGAGAGGUUGAAGCCUGUCAAUCGGAUUGCCUCCGGCAGGAAUUGUACUCUUGCCGUUAAAUACUGCAGGAUGUUCGGCAAAACGAGCUCUAGUUUUCUCGACCUUGCAGUCUUCCCUCUCCUAAUGUUGAAAACCGCUGGCCGACAAAACCUGAGCCAUAUCUAUAAUGUAUACCGAGAUGAAAAUGAUACUGUUGGAAUCUUAAUGUCACCGCCUCCAAUAUGAACCAAUUCCAAUUCUGUCAAAAUUAAAGCCCAGAUAUUACUGAGACUUAACUGCUGUGCCUGUUCUCGUCAUGCAGCUUUCAAAUUAAAGCAUUAAAACAUAAA